rnacentral:ribozyme from 12 species
GCAAAACUACGUGCGGUAAAUGCAAUGGGCAUGAAAUGUUGCAAUACAUAAAUAUGUAAUAAAAAAAACUUAAUAUAAUCUCCAUGAUAUUUUUUUUGUGCGGUUCUGAGGUCUACGAUUUUAAUUUUUUU